AGUCGAGCGAACGGACGAGAAGCUUGCUUCUCUGAUGUUAGCGGCGGACGGGUGAGUAACACGUGGAUAACCUACCUAUAAGACUGGGAUAACUUCGGGAAACCGGAGCUAAUACCGGAUAAUAUUUCGAACCGCAUGGUUCAAAAGUGAAAGACGGUCUUGCUGUCACUUAUAGAUGGAUCCGCGCUGCAUUAGCUAGUUGGUAAGGUAACGGCUUACCAAGGCAACGAUGCAUAGCCGA
rnacentral:rRNA from 1 species